CAAAUAUUUCUGCUUUAGAAUGGAACUAUCAGUUUGGGGAAGAGUGAGAAAUAUAGAAAAGAAAGAAUUACAGAUGGGGAGAUCUAGUUGGGAAAAUAUUAUUAAUCACUUUGGUUAGGUCAGUGUCAGUGAAGACAAAGGAGGGGAUUAAAAAUGACUGGGGAUUGGUAACAGGAAAGGACUGCCAAAGAUUGAUUUUAAGUACCACGUCUAACAUUUGUAAGGCUGAAAGAAAGUGUUUCUGACAAAUGCAAACUAAAGCAGGGUUAUAUUUUAUGAAAAUAUGCCAUGGAGAGGAGUAGGAGUAUGAAGGAAGGAAGAAGAACAGGAGAAAAAUGCAGGCAAUAUGUUGGAGUGGUGGCAGUAAACAAUAGGGGCUUAGAUGAGAAUUACUGAAGGAGUGAACUGCUGGAUGUAUUUGAUAGAAUCAUAGAAUCAUGGAAUGGUUUGGGUUGAAAGGGGUAUUAAAGGUGUUCCAGUUCCAGACUCUCUGCCGUGGGCUGGAACACCUUCCAGUAGAUCAGGUUGCCUGAAGUCCCAUCCAACCUGGCCUUGAAGGCCUUUUAUCUGAUGAGUGAUAUCUGACAUCAUCAAUAAUCUGUGAAGUUUUGUGCAAAGAGCCAAGUGGACAUCAGGGCAUGAGAAAUGACCUGCCCCAGGAAUGUGUGUUCUGAUUCACAUGAACGAAUCUCAAUAAGCUUCACCAAGAGAGGGAGUAAUCCUUUUCUUGGACUUUCUGCUACACCGAGUGCUUGUUUGAAGGAAGGCUGGGGCAUGCUGGGAAGCACAACGUCGGUGAUGCCUGUGAUACAAUAUUGGGCCAAGCAGCAAAGAUAUUAAACUCUAUUGUACUCAUCGGAGGAGUCAAGCAUGCUUUCAUCCUUGCCACGUAGAGCUGGACUUUUUUUUCUUCUUGUUUUCCCAGCAAAAAUAGCUUUUUAAUCAGUCCAAAAUCUCCAAGGAAAGGGGAAAACAAACAAACAAACAAACAAAACCAGCACACAAAGCUCUUUCCUAUUUCCUCCUUGAUGCUUUUCCACAAGGCUGCUACCUGAGGACCAAAGGAGCAAGUGCUCUUUCACUCUCGUUGUCAAACCAAACCUGCACACAUAAAUACAUGCUACAGGGACACACAGCACCUGCUGCCCCCGGCACUGCUGUUAUUUAAAUUGUAGUGUUA
rnacentral:lncRNA from 1 species